rnacentral:rRNA from 1 species
AUUGAACGCUGGCGGCAUGCUUUACACAUGCAAGUCGGACGGCAGCACAGAGGAGCUUGCUUCUUGGGUGGCGAGUGGCGAACGGGUGAGUAACGCAUCGGAACGUACCGAGUAAUGGGGGAUAACUGUCCGAAAGGACAGCUAAUACCGCAUACGCCCUGAGGGGGAAAGCGGGGGAUCUUAGGACCUCGCGUUAUUCGAGCGGCCGAUGUCUGAUUAGCUGGUUGGCGGGGUAAAGGCCCACCAAGGCGACGAUCAGUAGCGGGUCUGAGAGGAUGAUCCGCCACACUGGGACUGAGACACGGCCCAGACUCCUACGGGAGGCAGCAGUGGGGAAUUUUGGACAAUGGGCGCAAGCCUGAUCCAGCCAUGCCGCGUGUCUGAAGAAGGCCUUCGGGUUGUAAAGGACUUUUGUCAGGGAAGAAAAGGGGCAUGUUAAUACCGUGCUCUGAUGACGGUACCUGAAGAAUAAGCACCGGCUAACUACGU